rnacentral:misc_RNA from 1 species
CUUACUCUAACAAGGAAAUUCAAUGCCCCAAAAGUGUCAGAAGUUGGCUUGAAGCACAUGUAAGAUAGCUUCCAGGAAUCAAAAUGAAUAUAUUGCUGUCUUAACUACACGGAUUUCUUUGCUUUAUCAAUGCCUUGUUUGUGGCUCUUCUGGAGCAAGUUCUGGGUUUCCAGAAACGGUGUCGAGGUGCCCUGGGUGACUAGCAUUCCCCACUGAACGCUCAGAACCAGGUAGUAGCCAUUGCCGAGAAUG